rnacentral:lncRNA from 1 species
ACCGAUUUGCUACUCAUUAGAUCGUAGUGUAAUAUCCUUUCCUUUUUAGAGAAGGAUGGUACCAUAUAAAAUGCUACUAGCAAUUUUUGGAAAGCACAACUAGUAUGUUUGGACUUCAAAAUAAUCUAGUUGUAUCUGGUGGUGGAUUUCUUAACUUUGUUUGCUAUUUGGCACCUGGCAGAGCCAACAUGAUGAAUUUGAGGCAAAGUUUUUUGAGGAGAGAGCUGCGCUUGAAGCUAAAUAUCAGAAGAUGUACGAGCCACUGUACUC